CACGUAGGGGACGAGCGUUGUCCGGAUUCAUUGGGCGUAAAGCGCGCGUAGGCGGCUCGGAAAGUCGGUCGUGAAAUGCCGGGGCUCAACCCCGGGACUGCGUCCGAUACUCCCGAGCUGGAGGCAGGUAGGGGAGAUCGGAAUUCCUGGUGUAGCGGUGAAAUGCGCAGAUAUCAGGAGGAACACCGGUGGCGAAGGCGGAUCUCUGGGCCUUGCCUGACGCUGAGGCGCGAAAGCUAGGGGAGCGAACAGGA
rnacentral:rRNA from 1 species